rnacentral:rRNA from 1 species
GAUGGGGAAAGACCAUGGAAAGGAUCUGCCAUGCCGUGCGAUGACACAGAUAGGCAACUGUUCUCCAGCUGCACCACGAUCUGCUUAGGCGAUGCAAGUAUUGCUAGCUUCUGGAUGGAUAGAUGGCUCAAUGGCGAAUCUCCAAAUGUGGUGGCCCGUGCUGUUUUCAAAUUGGCUUGGUUCAAAAAGGUACCGGUUAAGGAGGGAUUGGGCAAUGGAAAAUGGAUGCAAGGGCUCCAACGAAUGGACAUCGAGGAGCAGCUAACCCAGUUUGCAAACCUAUGGAAUGAAGUGCAAAUGAGAAACUUGUCGACGAAGGACACUAUUGUUUGUAAUCUCACAACCUCGGCUUCUUACACCACAUGUUCAGCCUAUGACACUCAGUUUAUUGCAAGAAUUGCCAAGCCUAGGCUAGCACGAGUGUGGAGGAGCAAGAUGGAAGGGAAGGUGAGGUUUUACAUUUGGUUGCUACUUGAUAACCCACAAGUAUAG